rnacentral:rRNA from 1 species
GGCUCAGGAUGAACGCUAGCGGCAGGCUUAAUACAUGCAAGUCGUGGGGCAGCAGGUUUGUAGCAAUACAGAUGCUGGCGACCGGCAAACGGGUGCGGAACACGUACAGAACCUUCCUUUGAGCGGGGAAUAGCCCAGAGAAAUUUGGAUUAAUACCCCAUAGUAUAAUGAAGUGGCAUCACUUUAUUAUUAAAGAUUUAUCACUCGAAGAUGGCUGUGCGGCUGAUUAGGUAGUUGGCGGGGUAAAGGCCCACCAAGCCUGCGAUCAGUAACUGGUGUGAGAGCACGACCAGUCACACGGGCACUGAGACACGGGCCCGACUCCUACGGGAGGCAGCAGUAAGGAAUAUUGGUCAAUGGAGGCAACUCUGAACCAGCCAUGCCGCGUGGAGGAUGAAGGUCCUCUGGAUUGUAAACUUCUUUUAUAUGGGACGAAAAAAGGCUUUUCUAAGUCGUCUGACGGUACCAUAUGAAUAAGCACCGGCUAACUCCGUG